CUUGAACGCUGGAGGCAGGCCUAACACACGCAAGUCGAGCACGCGGCGGACGGGUUAGUCAUCUCUGUGAAUCUUCCUGCUGGAGCGGGCUUACUACUCCAAACGGUAGCUAAUCCCGCCUACCAUCAGAUGGGCCCAGAUGGGAUUAGCUAGUAGUUGGGGUAACGGCUCACCUAGGCGACGAUCCCUAGCUGGUCUGAGAGGAUGACCAGCCACACUGGACCUGCGACACGGUCCAGAUGCCUACGGGAGGCAGCAGUGGGGAAGUUUGCACAAGGGGCGUAGGCCUGAGGCAGCCAUGCCGCGUGUGGGAAGAAGGCCUUAGGGUGGUAAAGCACGUUCAGCGGGGAGGGUUUGCCCGCAGAAGAAGCACCGGCUAACUCCGGGCCAGCAGCCGCGGUAAUAC
rnacentral:rRNA from 1 species